rnacentral:rRNA from 1 species
AGCGAACGCUGGCGGCAGGCUUAACACAUGCAAGUCGAGCGGGCACUUCGGUGUCAGCGGCAGACGGGUGAGUAACACGUGGGAACGUACCCUUCGGUUCGGAAUAACGCUGGGAAACUAGCGCUAAUACCGGAUACGCCCUCUUGGGGAAAGGUUUACUGCCGAAGGAUCGGCCCGCGUCUGAUUAGCUAGUUGGUGGGGUAAUGGCCUACCAAGGCGACGAUCAGUAGCUGGUCUGAGAGGAUGAUCAGCCACACUGGGACUGAGACACGGCCCAGACUCCUACGGGAGGCAGCAGUGGGGAAUAUUGAACAAUGGGCGCAAGCCUGAUCCAGCCAUGCCGCGUGAGUGAUGAAGGCCUUAGGGUUGUAAAGCUCUUUUGUCCGGGACGAUAAUGACGGUACCGGAAGAAUAAGCCCCGGCUAGCUUCGUG